UUUAAUAGGAAUAUUAGAAAAGCUGGAUAUAACACUGUUCAUCACUUGGACCGUAUGAUGACAUGGACCAUACUGGAUCACUUUUGAACCUUUACCCUGAUGCUAAAAUACAGAUCUCAUCGGGAAAUAUCACCAAAUCAAUGUGACCUAAAUUUGGUGAAAUAAUGAAGAUAUACUUCCUUGUGGGAACUCAAAAUCUAAUUGUUCACAUGGGAAAACAUUCAGAUUUCUUUAGUACAAGGGAGUGCCUGUAUCUACAAUAAUGACAUCACCAGAAUCCUAUCCAAAUGUACACUAAAGAGGAUACACUUGGAAUCCAGGGGCUUAGAGGCAGCUGGCUGGGGGGAGGCUGCCAGCUUUAAUCAUUCACCUUCCCCUGUGCAAAGACAGCGAGGAGAAAACGCAGCUGAACAAGGCUGAGAGGGCAUGAAAUUGCGUUAAGCAACACUCAUGACAAUGACUGGAUUUGCUAUUUUAGAGAUUUCAAAAGAAGUUGAGAAAUAUUCAAGACUUCUUGAGUUCCAGGCUUGGAAUUGACACACCACUACUUCUACUGUAUUCUGUUGACCAAGGCACAU